AUGGAGCUGUAGCGAGGCUGCGUCAGUGUAAAAGAGCAGAAAUCCCCGGAGGUGUGAAGGCCUGUUAGUCGGUGUCAUUCUCUCCAUGGAGCUGCAAUUGAAAGGGAUGCUUCUGGUGUGAUGUGCGGCACCCUCCCGCGUUCUCAGAAGAACCAAGUUGGCAAAGCCUGGCUCUUGGUUGGUGAGCUGUGCCCAAGGUGAGAGAGUUGACUCUUGUGGGCUUUGAGACAUUUCUUCCAGUUGCACGCUGUGUUAUUUCCGUUGUGUUGACCUCUUGAGCUCCAGCCCCAAGUGAGGAUCCGAGCAGUAGUGCAGAAGGGACGGUUUAGACUGGAAGUGCAACGCAAAGGGCGGGAGCUAGCAGGAGCAGGGAAGUGAUCAUCCCCCUGUACUCAGCACUGGUGAGUCCUCACCUGGAGUCCUUGCAGCACCUUCGCAGCAACCUUGAUUUCUCCAUCCUUCUCUGAGCUUUGUGCCACGAGAGCUCUGCAGCUUCUACCUGUGACGUGAGAGCAUAUGGAAGGCCCUGCAAGAAGUCUGGUGAUAACCAUGGAAGCAUAGAAGCGUUACCCAGACAGACUGAGCAUUUGUCACCUGGG